GCACCGAUAGCUCAGGGGUAGAGCAAUCGGCUGCAGUCCGAUAGGUCACCGGUUCAAAUCCGGUUCGGUGCU